rnacentral:tRNA from 1 species
GGCUCUGUGGCGCAAUGGACAGUGCAUUGGACUUCUAGGACAGUAGAAGGCAUUUAAAGGUUGUGGGUUCGAGUCCCACCAGAGUCA